rnacentral:tRNA from 1 species
GCCGGUGUAGCUCAGUGGUAGAGCAGCUGAUUCGUAAUCAGCAGGCCGCGGGUUCAAAUCCCGCUACCGGCUCCA